rnacentral:rRNA from 1 species
UACGAAGGGGGCUAGCGUUGCUCGGAAUCACUGGGCGUAAAGGGUGCGUAGGCGGGUCUUAAGUCAGGGGUGAAAUCCUGGAGCUCAACUCUAGAACUGCCUUUGAUACUGAGGAUCUUGAGUUCGGGAGAGGUGAGUGGAACUGCGAGUGUAGAGGUGAAAUUGUAGAUAUUCGCAAGAACACCAGUGGCGAAGGCGGCUCACUGGCCCGAUACUGACGCUGAGGCACGAAAGCGUGGGGAGCAAACAGG